GACGAACGCUGGCGGCGUGCUUAACACAUGAAAGUCGAACGAAGUGGCGAACGGGUGAGUAAUACGUGGGUAACCUGCCCUCCUUUUUGGGAUAAGACUUGGAAACGGGGUCUAAUACCGAAUAAAGGGGGAUGGGCUCGCGGCCUAUCAGCUUGUGGGUGGGGUGAUGGCCUACCAAGGCGGUGACGGGUAGCCGGCCUGGGAGGGUGGCCCGCCACAUUGGGACUGGAAUACGGCCCAGGAUACUACGGUAGGCCGCAGGGGGGGGUUUUUCGCAAUGGGGCAAAGGCUGAUUCCGCGACGGCGUGUGGGGGGUGUAGGCUUUCGGGUUGUAAACCUCUUUCGCUAGCGAACGGGUAGGUGGAGAAGAAGCGCCGGCUAACUACGUGCCAGCAGCCGCGGUAAUAC
rnacentral:rRNA from 1 species